CCUGCUCUGUGGGGGCCUCCUGUGGCCUGAAUUAGAUGGCUGCUUCUCUUUCUGCGAGGCAAAAAUAACUUGCCACUUAGACUUGUGAGAGCAGCGUGGCUCACGCCACGAUCAGAGAGAAGCGGUCGCUCCCUGAGUGUUCUGAAACGUUGCAUUUCCAUGGCAUUUCCGUGGCUCUCACAUCAAGGGAAAAAAAGGCAGCGUAAUAACAGAUGUGGCAGACUGCAAAAUGCUGUGUGCUGUGUCAAAAUAAUCCAGUCCAUAACCAAUAAUAGGCAACGCCUUCCCCAUAUGGAUUGAAGAAGAGGAAAAAAAGCCCCAUCUUGCCCCUGCCCAAGAAAUACUAUUCACAGCGUGUGUGUGAGUGAGAGCAAGGGUCAUCUAUUUCUUAGCUACAAUCAGCCUUUGGAAAGCAGCAGACUUACACAGCAGGUAGCAGGUUUCAGCAAUCACCAUGCAUCAUGUGGGACUGACUGCCAGUGGAGCUCAGGAAAGCAGAAGAAACAAGCAUACAGGAAGGUCAGCCUGCUGCCUCCAUGUCUUUAGUUGCUUCUCCCCACCUGAAAAGAACUCUUUCCUGCCUGCUCAAGCACCACACCUUGAAUGCCAGAGCAAACUAGCGUUGUUCAAAGGAAUUCAAUAAAUGCAACUAUCCUAACAAACGGUGGAUGUUGAACAAUUCCUCUAAGGGGAAGUUUCACAACCUAAAUAGGCUUUUGUCUUGUACAUCUACUUGAUAUAUGUGCCAAGCUAGCAGGAGCUUGUUGUGCACUGGGAAGCAAUGUCUUUAGUACUCACAAAGUAGAGCUGUCUGAAGCCAAUAUUUCAUCCGUGAUGAAAAGGUCUGCAUUAUGUACUGAGCUCUGGGUUUAUACAUUUCUCUACACAUACUGGAGAGGAGCAAUAGUCAUGAAUGUAGGCUAUUGGUAACUCAGAUAAUGCAUAAGGUGAAGUCACAGUAAGAAGUUCCAUGAACAUUAACUGAAUGCCUACUGACUCCACGUACCAAGAUCCCCAUUUCAGAAGUCAUACAGCUGGCUCUGGAUAACACCACUCAUG
ensembl:lncRNA